GGGUUGUGAGGUUAAGCGACUAAGCGUACACGGUGGAUGCCCUGGCAGUCAGAGGCGAUGAAGGACGUGCUAAUCUGCGAUAAGCGUCGGUAAGGUGAUAUGAACCGUUAUAACCGGCGAUUUCCGAAUGGGGAAACCCAGUGUGUUUCGACACACUAUCAUUAACUGAAUCCAUAGGUUAAUGAGGCGAACCGGGGGAACUGAAACAUCUAAGUACCCCGAGGAAAAGAAAUCAACCGAGAUUCCCCCAGUAGCGGCGAGCGAACGGGGAGAAGCCCAGAGCCUGAAUCAGUGUGUGUGUUAGUGGAAGCGUCUGGAAAGGCGCGCGAUACAGGGUGACAGCCCCGUACACAAAAAUGCACAUACUGUGAGCUCGAUGAGUAGGGCGGGACACGUGGUA
rnacentral:rRNA from 1 species